rnacentral:rRNA from 1 species
UACGUAGGGUGCGAGCGUUGUCCGGAAUUAUUGGGCGUAAAGAACUCGUAGGCGGCUUGUCGCGUCGAAUGUGAAAACUCGGGGCUCAACUCCGAGCUUGCAUUCGAUACGGGCAGGCUAGAGUUCGGUAGGGGAGACUGGAAUUCCCGGUGUAGUGGUGGAAUGCGUAGAUAUCGGGAGGAACACCAGUGGCGAAGGCGGUUGCCUGGGGCUUUGCUGACGCUGAUGCGCGAAAGCGUGGGGAGCGAUCCGG